AAAGCCGGGUUACUAUGCCAAAUUGCAUGCUAACCUAGAUCCCACAAAGGGUAUUGGUCGAUUAAGACAGCAGAACAGUGGUCAUAUAGCUCAAAAUCCACUAAGGAGUGUGUAACAACUCACCUACCGAAUCAACUAGCCCCCAAAAUAGAUAGCGCUUAAGCGUACGACAUACAAUCGGUCAUUGAAGAAAGUGCCAGGCUCUAAUG
rnacentral:ncRNA from 1 species